rnacentral:rRNA from 1 species
UACGUAGGGUGCAAGCGUUAUCCGGAAUUAUUGGGCGUAAAGAGCUCGUAGGCGGUUUGUCGCGUCUGCUGUGAAAACCCGAGGCUCAACCUCGGGCCUGCAGUGGGUACGGGCAGACUAGAGUGCGGUAGGGGAGAUUGGAAUCCUGGUGUAGCGGUGGAAUGCGCAGAUAUCAGGAGGAACACCGAUGGCGAAGGCAGAUCUCUGGGCCGUAACUGACGCUGAGGAGCGAAAGCGUGGGGAGCGAACAGG